GGAAGAGAAAAAGACCGGUCUCUGUUUGGAAAUUACAAACAUAGAAGAACUUAGAAACAAUGGGUUUCUAGAUUGGGUGGAAGGACUGGCUUGGGAUCCUGAGAGAGCAAGAAAAGUUUACCGGGAGCUUCAGAAAAAGUUAUUCAUCAUUUUUGGAGUGGAUAUUCAGAAGUGACUUCCCUCUUUUGCUCUGGCAUUGAUGCAUUCACAUCAAUGGUGAAUUCAGACUUCAGAAGAACUGACCCAAGGACAAAGGUCCACCCAGGCCAUGGAAGAGGCUCCUCAACCGUUUGGGUGGGUAAUCCCUUGGCCUGCAUUUGGGGGAUGAUCUGACAUGGGUGGGAAUAUGGCUUCUGUGUAGAUAUCUCCCCUUGGCCCUUAGAGAGGGUCAUGGCUCUGGAGGGACAGAGCAGUGUUUCUAAAGUCCCAGGCCCAGAGCAGGGUUCCUCCUGGCUGAGUCUAAAACACUGAAUUCUGAGCAUAUGGGAGAAGGUAAGAGUUGGGAAGUUAAGUCAUUCACACAGGUGAAUUUCAUUGUCAGGACUUCUUGCCAUUUGACUAAUAUCCGUAUUUUCUUUGUUCUUAUAAAUAGAACCCUCAUUUUGUUUAGGGCAGCAAUGGUCCUAACUUAGAGACUGUAUCUUCUUUUCUUUUCUUUUUUUUUUUGAGACAGAGUUUCACUCUUGUCACCCAGG
rnacentral:lncRNA from 1 species